rnacentral:lncRNA from 1 species
CGAAGAAGCAUUGUUAAAGUCUCUCUUCACCCUGCCGUCAUGUCUAACUAUGGCAGUGGCAGAAGAUUUUAAUUAGGAAACAAAGCUUAGCAGGAGCGGAGAGCCAGAGAAGUGACAGGGAAGCUACAGGUUACAACAGAUUUGUGAACUCAGCCAAGCACAGUGGUGGCAGGGCCUAGCUGCUACAAAGAAGACAUGUUUUAGACAAAUACUCAUGUGUAUGGGCAAAAAACUCGAGGACUGUAUUUGUGACUAAUUGUAUAACAGGUUAUUUUAGUUUCUGUUCUGUGGAAAGUGUAAAGCAUUCCAACAAAGGGUUUUAAUGUAGAUUUUUUUUUUGCACCUAUGCUGUUGAUUGCUAAUGUAAUAGUCUGAUCGUGAUGCUGAAUAAAUGUCUUUUCUUUUUAAUGUGCUGUGUAAAGUUAGUCUACUCUGAAGCCAUCUUGGUAAAUUUCCCCAACAGUGUGAAGUUAGAAUUCCUUCAGGGUGAUGCCAGGUUCUAUUUGGAAUUUAUAUACAACCUGCUUGGAGGGAGAAGCCAUUGUCUUCAGAAACCUUGGUGUAGUUGAACUGAUAGUUACCGUUGUGACCUGAAGUUCACCAUUAAAAGGGAUUACCCAAGCAAAAUCAUGGAAUUAUUGGUUAUAAAAGUGAUUGUUGGCACAUCCUAUGCAAUAUAUCUAAAUUGAAUAAUGGUACUAGAUAAAAUUAUAGAUGGGAAUGAAGCUUGUG